CGGCGCUGCUGCCGCCGGUGCCCUGCACCUGCCGGGACGAUGACACGGCGCUGCCGCCCCCGACCCGCAUCGCGAGCCGCGAAACGCACGGGCCCCGGCGCGGGACGGCGGGGCCGGGCAGCCUCAGGAGAGAACUUGGACCAGAGGAUCUGGUGGAGGUCCCAGUGUGCUGGUAUUUAUAGGACGGAAAUGACAAAUCUUGUGAAAUUGUUUGAUACUACAGUAUCAGCCCUGGACAGAAUAGUGGAAGGGUUGGCCACGCAUUGUCAGAGGGAAUGAUGACUGCUGUUAGCUCUACAGUCAAUGUACAUUUCCAAAAAAUGUAAUUUAUGCCUGUUUGGAAUACCACCAGUGAAGGAGGACACUCUCAAGCUCCACAUCAAGGGAUGCCGAGCUCCACCUGCCUUCCUUUUUCUCAGUGGGAGCACUCUUCAUCUGCUCACCUACCACAGAGCUCCUGUGCUCUUGCUGCUUUCCCUAUUUUAAGGACACAUUACCAAAUGUAUCUGUUGCAUUUACGUUCAGUGAUUCUCUGCAUUUUAUGAAUAAACAUGGA